UACGGAGGUGGCAAGCGUUGUUCGGAAUUACUGGGCGUAAAGGGCGCGUAGGCGGUUUGGCAAGUCAGAUGUGAAAGCCCCGAGCUUAACUCGGGAAUUGCAUCUGAAACUGCUCAACUUGAGUCCUGGAUGGGGUAGUGGAAUUCCCAGUGUAGCGGUGAAAUGCGUAGAUAUUGGGAGGAACACCUGCGGCGAAGGCGGCUACCUGGACAGUGACUGACGCUGAGGCGCGAAAGCUAGGGGAGCGAACGGG
rnacentral:rRNA from 1 species